UGGUGGAGUGAUUUGUCUGGUUUAUUCCGUUAACGAACGAGACCUCGACCUGCUAAAUAGGGUGGCCCGCGUCCUUUUCGGGGCGGGCGUAUUGACACGCUUCUUAGAGGAACUAUCGGUGGUUAGCCGGUGGAAGUUCGAGGCAAUAACA
rnacentral:rRNA from 1 species